GACGAACGCUGGCGGCGUGCUUAACACAUGCAAGUCGAACGGAAAGGCCCUUCUUUUGUGGGGUGCUCGAGUGGCGAACGGGUGAUUAACACGUGAGUAACCUGCCCUUGACUUUGGGAUAACUUCAGGAAACUGGGGCUAAUACCGGAUAGGAGCUCCUGCUGCAUGGUGGGGGUUGGAAAGUUUCGGCGGUUGGGGAUGGACUCGCGGCUUAUCAGCUUGUUGGUGGGGUAGUGGCUUACCAAGGCUUUGACGGGUAGCCGGCCUGAGAGGGUGACCGGCCACAUUGGGACUGAGAUACGGCCCAGACGCCUACGGGAGGCAGCAGUGGGGAAUAUUGCACAAUGGGCGGAAGCCUGAUGCAGCAACGCCGCGUGCGGGAUGACGGCCUGCGGGUUGUAAACCGCUUUCGCCUGUGACGAAGCGUGAGUGACGGUAAUGGGUAAAGAAGCACCGGCUAACUACGUG
rnacentral:rRNA from 1 species